rnacentral:lncRNA from 1 species
UUUAAAAUAUUUUAUUUUGCUAUUUCUAUAAUUUUCUCUAUAUUUUUUUUACUAUUCUAUUUAAAGAUAGAUCCUUCACUACAACAGAAUUAGAUUAUAGAGACAUUUUUAGAACACUUUUACAUAAGUGUCCCACUUAUGCUAAAUUUUUUUAAAAAAAUUUACUAAAGUCUAAAUAUAAAGUUCAAUCCAAUCAAAAACAAAAAGUUUCUUUACUCUACCAACCACACCCAGCUCACUCUGCCCGAUUACAAACAAAAACGAAAAAAAGAAAAGAAAAAUUGAUCAUCAUCUCUCAUUCUCCUCUUCCGCCGCUGCAGCCGACGAGGUAGGGUUCUGGCAGCUAGAAUUCGACCACGAGGAUCUCGCAGGGAUCAUAGAGGGCUACGAUCGCCACGUAUCCCUCCGCACAGGUCGCUGAAGGAGUGUAUACCAAAUAUCAAGGCGGCCCUACUUAUAGCGACCCCACAUAUAGCAACAUUUUUAAAAAGUGUUGGUAGUUUAGCUAGCAGUACUUUUUUUGAUCUGUACCGAUAUUUGAAAGUGUCGCUAUAUACAGUUUUUAUUGUAGUGCUUAUGGUGAAGCAAUGAUAAAACCA